UGAGGAAUAUUGGGCAAUGCCCGCAAGGGUGACCCAGCAACGCCGCGUGGAGGAUGAAUGUCGUAAGAUUGUAAACUCCUGUUAGAGGGGAAGAAUAGUACCGGUUGGACCGGUAUAUGACUGUACCCUCAGAGAAAGCCCCGGCUAACUACGGGCCAGCAGCCGCGGUAAUACGUAGGGGGCAAGCGUUGUCCGGAUUUACUGGGUGUAAAGGGCGCGCAGGCGGGAUAAAAAGUCAGUGGUGAAAUCCUACAGCUUAACUGUAGAAAUGCCUUUGAUACUUUUAUUCUUGAGUUCGGGAGAGAGAGACGGAAUUCCAGGUGUAGUGGUGAAAUACGUAGAUAUCUGGAAGAACACCAGUUGCGAAGGCGGUCUCUUGGUCCGACACUGACGCUGAGGCGCGAAAGCGUGGGGAGCAAACA
rnacentral:rRNA from 1 species